CCCUUCUCAGGAUCCACCUGAAGAGUUUCCAAUACUCUACCAGUCUCGGCUACAGGAGGGAGAGGCAAGCAGAGGCACACCCAUUCCUUUCCUAGCUUGGGCAGUGGCUAGUGAGUGGAAGGCAAUCUGCUACAAGU